AGUGAACGCUGGCGGUAGGCCUAACACAUGCAAGUCGAACGGCAGCACAGUAAGAGCUUGCUCUUACGGGUGGCGAGUGGCGGACGGGUGAGGAAUACAUCGGAAUCUACUUUUUCGUGGGGGAUAACGUAGGGAAACUUACGCUAAUACCGCAUACGACCUACGGGUGAAAGCAGGGGAUCUUCUGACCUUGCGCGAUUGAAUGAGCCGAUGUCGGAUUAGCUAGUUGGCGGGGUAAAGGCCCACCAAGGCGACGAUCCGUAGCUGGUCUGAGAGGAUGAUCAGCCACCCUGGAACUGAGACACGGCCCAGACUCCUACGGGAGGCAGCAGUGGGGAAUAUUGGACAAUGGGCGAAAGCCUGAUCCAGCAAUACCGCGUGGGUGAAGAAGGCCUUCGGGUUGUAAAGCCCUUUUGUUGGGAAAGAAAAGCAGCAGGUUAAUACCCCGCUGUUCUGACGGUACCCAAAGAAUAAGCACCGGCUAACUUCGUG
rnacentral:rRNA from 1 species